rnacentral:rRNA from 1 species
GACGAACGCUGGCGGCGUGCUUAACACAUGCAAGUCGAACGGAAAGGCCCUGCUUUUGUGGGGUGCUCGAGUGGCGAACGGGUGAGUAACACGUGAGUAACCUGCCCUUGACUUUGGGAUAACUUCAGGAAACUGGGGCUAAAACCGGAUAGGAGCUCCUGCUGCAUGGUGGGGGUUGGAAAGUUUCGGCGGUUGGAGAUGGACUCGCGGCUUAUCAGCUUGUUGGUGGGGUAGUGGCUUACCAAGGCUUUGACGGGUAGCCGGCCUGAGAGGGUGACCGGCCACAUUGGGACUGAGAUACGGCCCAGACUCCUACGGGAGGCAGCAGUGGGGAAUAUUGCACAAUGGGCGGAAGCCUGAUGCAGCAACGCCGCGUGCGGGAUGACGGCCUUCGGGUUGUAAACCGCUUUCGCCUGUGACGAAGCGUGAGUGACGGUAAUGGGUAAAGAAGCACCGGCUAACUACGUG